rnacentral:ncRNA from 1 species
GCUCACAUGGGGUGAGUUUAUGCGGUCCCCGCCGCGUAGUGGAAUAGAACCCACACAUUAACAUAAAGGAAAAACAAAUG